rnacentral:rRNA from 1 species
UACGUAGGGUGCAAGCGUUGUCCGGAAUUAUUGGGCGUAAAGAGCUCGUAGGCGGUUUGUCGCGUCGGCCGUGAAAUCUCCACGCUUAACGUGGAGCGUGCGGUCGAUACGGGCAGGCUGGAGUUCGGUAGGGGAGACUGGAAUUCCUGGUGUAGCGGUGAAAUGCGCAGAUAUCAGGAGGAACACCGGUGGCGAAGGCGGGUCUCUGGGCCGAUACUGACGCUGAGGAGCGAAAGCGUGGGGAGCGAACAGG